rnacentral:rRNA from 1 species
GAUGAACGCUGGCGGCGUGCUUAACACAUGCAAGUCGAACGAAGCACCUUGAUUUGAUUCUUCGGAUGAAGAUCUUGGUGACUGAGUGGCGGACGGGUGAGUAACGCGUGGGUAACCUGCCUCAUACAGGGGGAUAACAGUUCGAAAUGACUGCUAAUACCGCAUAAGACCACAGUACCGCAUGGUACAGGGGUAAAAACUCCGGUGGUAUGAGAUGGACCCGCGUCUGAUUAGGUAGUUGGUGGGGUAACGGCCUACCAAGCCGACGAUCAGUAGCCGACCUGAGAGGGUGACCGGCCACAUUGGGACUGAGACACGGCCCAAACUCCCACGGGAGGCAGCAGUGGGGAAUAUUGCACAAUGGGGGAAACCCUGAUGCAGCGACACCGCGUGAGCGAUGAAGUAUUUCGGUAUGUAAAGCUCUAUCAGCAGGGAAGAAAAUGACGGUACCUGACUAAGAAGCACCGGCUAAAUACGUGCCAGCCGCCGCCGUAA